CAGCCGCCACGGUAAUACGUAGGUCCCGAGCGUUGUCCGGAUUUAUUGGGCGUAAAGGGAGCGCAGGCGGUUUAGUAAGUCUGAAGUUAAAGGCAUUGGCUCAACCAAUGUAUGCUUUGGAAACUGUUAAACUUGAGUGCAGGAGAGAAAAGUGGAAUUCCUAGUGUAGCGGUGAAAUGCGUAGAGAUUAGGAGGAACACCAGUGGCGAAGGCGGCUUUUUGGCCUGUAACUGACACUGAGGCGCGAAAGCGUGGGGAGCAAACAGGAUUAGAUACCCCUGUAGUCCCUGUCUCUUAUACA
rnacentral:rRNA from 1 species